ensembl:lncRNA
ACACACAUUUAAGUGUUUAUUUUAAUACACGUUGGUCAAUAGCUGUACUAUUAUGUCUAAAUAAAUAAAAAAAUAAAACACUAAAAACCAAAAUCACAUAUUUUAAAAUCUACACAUGAAUUCAGGCAUUAUAAUAAUAAAAAUGCAUAUUCGAAAAGAUUACAUUUAACAGUGUUAUUAAUUUAUUAGUGUUUUUAUAAAAUAAUAUAAAUGUAAAAAUGUGAGAGAUGUCCAGUAUACGCUAAUAUAUUUAAUAUUGACUUUUAGCAAUACAUUAUGAAACAAAGCAACUUUUAAAACCAGUGUUAUUUGUUAAUAUUGUUAAUUGUUUUUGUUAAUAUUUUGAAUUAGAUUAUAUUUUCGUUUUUCAUCUUAAAUUAUAUAAACUAAAUAAAUAACAUUUAUAUAUUUUUUAAUUAUAUAUUAUAUGUAUAUAUUACAUUUUAUAUUAAUUUCUAGUAUUAAGAUUUAGUCUAGUUUAUUUAGUUAUAGUGAUUUUAGUACUAAAACUAAAUUAAAAUUAGAAAUGUUGCUUUGGCAACUAGCUAAAAAGAAACAAAUUGAAGUGUAUUUUUAUUUCAGUCAAUGUUCAUCCUAGUAAUGUCGAGACUUGAGAGAAAAUUAAUAAAUCGUUAUCCAUAAAUGUCUACCUGACAAAAUCGACCACUAGAUGUCGCUCUAUUCCGUCAUUCUAAUUACAGAAAUCAAAUAAAAUAUGAGCAAUAAUAGUGAUUUAGAAUACCGUAAAACAAAUCUGAGAUAAAACGCUUAGGCGGCCGUUGUAAGUUGUUGCCUGGCAACUGCAACGAUGUUUUUUAAACGAAUCCGAAGCGAACUGUCAUUUUCCCGGGAACCUCCGCAGCACGUGACUCACCCGGCGCCUCGCGCGCAGCCCCGCUCUCCGAAUAUUAAAAUGGCGGCGCCGCAUGGCGUAAAACUGAAGGAUUUAAAGUGUGAUUUGACGGACUGUACCGCAGCACAAGCGCAGCAGGACUCUCAGGUUGAAUUUGUGAAACGCGAUGUUCCCGUCUUCGAGCUGGAUGUGGGAAGGAUCUCCGAUGCUCUUCACGAAAGCCUGGAUCCGUCCAUUUUAUCCAUGUUUCAGGAGAAGACGCUGACGGAGAGCGUGGAGAGCGAGGCGUCGCUGCUGUCCGCUCUGACCGAGAUGUUGGACAGCGUGGACGUCGAGACACUGUCUCCAUUCGACACGCUGCCGGACACGGAGCUCUUCUCGGCUCCGAAGGGUUCGGAUCACAUGCUCAGGAAUCUGCUUCAUUUGAGUUCGUCAUCACCGGAUCGGCCCUCAAUCUCUCCAUCAGCAGCCGUAAAGAAGUCAGGAAGAGAGGUUGUGAUGUCAGACAGACAGUUGAGACCCCGUCGCAUUUUAGUGACCCAGAGUGAGAUUUCAAUCCGAUCUGUGAGAACCUUCCGGAUCGAAUCCGACCCGAUAUUCCCACAGGACUGCCGGGAAGCACUUGCAGAUUUAGUGAGACACAUGCAUCCGUACUGCAUCAGGACAGAGAAAGAGACACGUGUGUCUGUGGAGGAGGAGGAAGAGGAGGAGUUUGUUGAUGUAGAAGGUUACGAGGAACAGGACGAGAACAUUCGGGACCAAUCAGAAAAAGACUUGAAUCCAAAAGCGGAAACAAAUGCACAGGAAGAAAAUGCCACAACUUCAGACCAAAACGUUAAGGCGACGGCUAAACGCAGCGCUUUAGUCAAAACCGGCGAUGCAGGACGGGUGAAGAAAACCGUGACUUUUGCGUUAAACUUAAUCUCCGUUCACGAGAUUCCACCCGACGAAGAGGAGACUCUCUCUAAAACAGACAUCACUUCCUCUCAGAAGCCCAAAGCGCUCAGUCUAGACCAGUACCGUCUCCUCAGACAGAAGAAGCCACCUCCGGAGGAGAAACCGAUGGACUCUCGAACCAAAUGGCCUUCGCUUCCCGAGCCUCCCAAGGAGCUUCCGCCAAUCCUGCCCAAGCUGACUCCGAACGCACCUUCUGUUAAACCGGAAACACCUCGAUCGCAGCCGCAGGGAGUCACACGUCCCUCUCGGAAGGACGUCAGGAAGGCUGUAGGUCUUUGCAUUGACCCUCCGAACCCGGUUUUAGUGCCCUUGAGACCCACACGACACACACACUCGGCCUCAGAACCAGAUGCGUGUGUUUCUUGUGAAGAGGGUCAAGUCUCUGAGGUCAAACCCGAAACUUCAGAAAGGAGACCGAAGCAGACGACGUGUGGAGAAAUCGGGAUUGAAGCGGCUGAUCUGACCAGCCUUUUGGAGCAGUUUGAGACUCAAGGACUAACUCCACCCGCCACACCUCCACAUCAGAUCUGGAGGCCCCUGGCGUCGCUCAAAGGGACGAGACAUGAAUCCAUCAAGCCGUCACCCAGCAAAACCAUUCAGAUAAUCGAACCUCGCCCACUGCCACGCAGUAAAACCCACUCAAAACCCUCGCUUCCCACCUUCACUCCUGCGCUGAAUCCCGCUCAAGCGUUCCUGGACCACGACUACUGCGGGAUUCAGACGUCUUUUACGCACACAAACGCUCUGUCCGGUUCGGUGCUGCUGUCUCCUGACAGCUCCCCCUGCAGGAUGGAGGCGUUCGAGGAGGCGGAGUCUCUAAGGGGGCGGGGCUUGCACUUCUCCUCCCACUCUCCAAGGCCAUUGGACCGCGGAAGGCUGAAGAGGCGGGGCUAUGAAGGCAGAUACCGGCGCUCCAGCUCGAGGUCUUGCUCCUCAUGUUCUUCGUCGUCUUCAUCAUCUUCAUCAUCAUCAUCUCGUUCCAGGUCUCCUUCACCACCCAGAAAACGGUACAGGUCCAGGAGGCAUUCUGGAAGCAGCUCCUCCUCGCGCUCCAGCUCACGCUCGUCUUCUCGCUCUCCUCCUCGCAAGCGUGGAUCCAGAUCACGAUCCGGAUCGUCACAUCGCUCUCGUUCGGGUUCGCGCUCGCCUGAGCCGGACUGGAGAUGGACGAGGUCAGUGUGAACGCAGCAGAACUGAGUGAUUCUUCCGGUGUUGAUCUUGAGUCUAAAUCAGUGGUUAUUCUCAGUCGCAGACAGAAGGAGCUCAACCGCAGAUACGAAGAGGCUCGUAGACUCCGGCAGCAGAAAGCCAUCGUAGGUGGACCAACGAUUGUUUGGCUUCAUGUUGGACGCUGUGUGUGUGUGUGUGUGUGUGUGUGUGUGUGUGUGUGUGUACCUGGUUGAUCCCCAGGAGGAGCGGAGGGUGGUGUAUGUGGGGGGGAUCCGUGGAAGCACGUCUCCGUCGGACCUCAGAGAUCGAUUCUCUCUGUUCGGGAAGGUGGAGGACUGCACCGUGCAUCUCAGGAGCCACGGGUGAGAUUUACACACACACAUCAGCAAAUCAAUAAAAUAAAAUUAUUAUAAUAAUAUAACA